UGGCCUUGACAUACUACAGAAUUUGACAGAGAUGUUGAAGUGCCUUCGGGAGCUGUAAUACAGGUGCUGCACGGCUGUCGUCAGCUCGUGUCGUGAGAUGUUGGGUUAAGUCCCGCAACGAGCGCAACCCUCGUCCUUAGUUACUAACGGUUCGGCCGAGGACUCUAAGGAGACUGCCUUCGUAAGGAGGAGGAAGGUGAGGACGACGUCAAGUCAUCAUGGCCCUUACGGCUAGGGCAACACACGUGCUACAAUGGUUAGGACAAUGAGAAGCGAUACCGCGAGGUGGAGCAAAUCUAUAAACCUAAUCUCAGUUCGGAUAGCAGUCUGCAACUCGACUGCUUGAAGCUGGAAUCACUAGUAAUCGUAAAUCAGCUAUGUUACGGUGAAUACGUUCCCGGGUCU
rnacentral:rRNA from 1 species